CAUGGACAUUAGUGUUCCUCGCUUUGCCGUUGAGUGAGGUGUAACUUAUCAAGCUGCGUCCCUUACUGGCAAGAAGACGUGAGAGAGCAGCGCUGCCUGGAUGUUGGAUGAGCCCAAACAAUGAUUUUGCCUGAAAACAUUACCGAGAAGUGGCUGGCUGCCGGAUCCUCACCCAUCGACUGGUGUGAGGAGAACUACAUUGUUAGCAGCAACAUCGCCGAGUUCACCAACACUUUUUCCAACGUUGGCUUCAUCAUACCACCUCUGUACUUGUGGCAGUCCAGAUCAUGGCAUAGCUAUUGUCGCCUGGUCUCCAUUGGACCUUUCGUUUUCUAUUCACUAAUGAUGUUUACGGGUAUCUUCAGUGUAUACUUCCAUGCUUCUUUAUCUUUCUUGGGACAACUUUUGGACGAAGUCAGCAUACUCUGGCUGACUCCUAUUGGCUACGCUUUUUUCACUCCAAAGAAGUACAGGCCGCCUUUUUUGUCCGACGCUACUUCCAUGGUAUUAAGUGUUAUAGUAUCAGUACUUUUAACAGCUUGUUGGUUUAUAGACCCAGCCUUGAACACAGUGUGGAUGUUCCCUAUGCUAAUCCCUGUCUUCCUUAUAGGCUAUCGUGAACUGCCAACCCUCAGCAAGGGGGCACCUUUGACUCAUGGAUUGUUAGCGUCAGUUUUCGGUUUCAUAUCUGUUACUUGUUGGUUGAGCGAUCGAUUUAUGUGUAACCAUAUUCUAAACGCUGGCUUUCCCGGUCUGCACUUCAUCUGGCAUCUGUCUAUCUGCCUGUGUUCGCAUCACGGCAUAACUGUUCUGGCUUACAUUAAGGCUGUGUCUGACGCACCUCAACUCAGGACCACUUUCAGACGGGCUCCAAAUUUACCAUUCGGUUUCCCAUUUAUUCACUGUCAAGUGAAAACUUCUUAAUUGUAAUUCAAAAUAAUGCAGGCACGUAGAAAAUCCGAUAAUCAGCAAACUCUUGGACUUAAAUUUAACAAUGUUUCAAGUUAAUAGUUGAUUUUAAAUGGGAAAUGAUUUAUUUGCAUUAUUUGUUUUAUUAUGAGUUUGUUAUAUGCUUGUCAUGGUAUUAAGUUGUUAAAUAUUUUAUGCUCAUGUUUAACAAGGUCUUGUCUGUGUUCGAAGAAAAUAAAUUAUUAAUUAAAUAUUUUCAGGAGAAUAGACGAAAAGAUUACCUUCUUACUAGCACUUCGCAGUGAAAGGUAUCUUAAACUAGAGGUGAUACACUAAACCUUAAAGAAGGAAAUGACUUUCGUUGUCUUGUGCCACGGCAGUUUGUACUUGUAUGUGUAACUCAAGUGUCGUUAUUGAUCUUAAGGUGAUGUGAAUAUUCUUGGGACAUUAUCACCACGUUCAUUACGUUUUAUUAUCAUGUUCACUGUGUUAUAUCAUCAUGUUCAUUACCUUUUCUGAUCCAUGCUGACUUCAAGUGUAACGUUUGCUUUGGUUUCCUCCUGUAAGAGUACAAAUUGAAAAGCAAUUCCAAAGGAAUUAUUGGAAUUCACUACGUUAAAAAUUCUUACCUUGUCAGUUCACUCUACGUAAUGAAGAACAUAAAAUUUUAAUGAGCCGUUUACAGCUGAUUAAUUUCAACUUUUACAUGUGCGCCAAUGAAAUUUACGUCUUCUUCCAAUAAAAUAAUUAUAUAUACUUCUGAACUUAUUAAUUACUAUAUAUUAUUAUUAUUGUUGUUCAAUUCCGGGAAACACUUUUCCAUCUCUACGAUAAUACGUAGUUGAUUCGUGCAGAAGUAAAAAUUUAUAAAAUUAUUACUGAAAUCUACCCAGCUUUCGGA